AAUUUUAAAUAAUUUCGAUCAUACAUCCAGCAUAAAAUGAUUCGUGCAAUUUUGUAUAAGAAGACAAUACAAUAGUAAUCGGAUAUUUAUGUGAUGGUUGUAUAUCUAAUAACAUAUAUAUUGUAUUACAUAUGGAUAAAAUUGGAUGCGUCAUCCUCAGAAGCGGUGGGCAAAAAUCUAGUAAUACUAGCAGCAGCUGUGGAAGACUUAGAAUUAUCAAAGUGCGCCACAGUAGAACGCGAAGCAGAAGCGCCAUCUUAAAUGUACAUAAUAUAAUAAAAAACAAACUUGCACUUUAAACAUCAGUUUGAUGGCCUUAAAAAUGUAUCCAUACAUUCUUACGAAGAACCACCAAAUAUCAUUGAAAUAUAGCUAUAAAAGCUAAUCACAAUAUAAUAAUAUUAUUAACUUAAUGUUUAUAUAUAUAUGUUAUGUUAUAUAUGUAUAUUCCGGAAAAUGCUUACAUGCGUCUCUUUGCGCCACCUAGUAGUAAAUUAUCGAUGGAUGAAAAAAACCAUCGAUAUAUCAUGAAAGCCCAAAUCCAUCGAUACUAUCAAUAGUCUGCAUCGAUGGAUUUGCAGCCUUAAUACAUAUGUAAUUAGAUAUGUAUACAUUCUGGUAUAUGUACUCUUCAAGAAGAAGUGCAAUGAAGGGAAAUGGACUGGCUUGAGCGGACAAACAUAUGUACAUAUAAAUUUACAAAUUAUAUUAUUCCAAU